UACGAAGGUCCCCAAGCGUUAUCCGGAUUUAUUGGGUUUAGAGGGUGCGUAGGCGGGUUAUUAAGUCAGUGGUGAAAGCCUACAGCUUAACUGUAGAAUUGCCAUUGAUACUGAUGAUCUUGAGUAUGAUUGAGGUGGGCGGAAUGUGUCAUGUAGCGGUGAGAUGCUUAGAUAUGACACAGAACACCGAUUGCGAAGGCAGCUCACUAAGCCAUAACUGACGCUGAUGCACGAAAGCGUGGGGGAGCAAACAGG
rnacentral:rRNA from 1 species